rnacentral:misc_RNA from 1 species
UCCGAGUUGACCCCGGCAGUCUUCUACGAGUCCCCGGCAUAAUCCGCUGGCAACAUAGAAUAAGGGUUGCGCUCGUUGCGGGACUUAACCCGACAUCUCACGACACGAGCUGACGACAACCAUGCACCACCUGUAUACCGACCUUGCGGGGAGACUGUUUCCAGCCUUUACCGGUAUAUGUCAAGCCUUGGUAAGGUUCUUCGCGUUGCAUCGAAUUAAUCCGCAUGCUCCGCCGCUCGUGCGGGCCCCCGUCAAUUCCUUUGAGUUUCGGUCUUGCGACCGUACUCCCCAGGCGGAGUGUUUCACGCGUUAGCUGGGCCCCUGAUCCACGUAGACCAAGGGCGAACACUCAUCGUUUACGGCAUGGACUAC